CCUACGGGAGGCUGCAGUGAGGAAUAUUGGUCAAUGGUCGGGAGACUGAACCAGCCAAGCCGCGUGAGGGAUGAAGGUACAGAGUAUCGUAAACCUCUUUUGUCAGGGAACAAAGGCGGGGACGUGUCCCCGGAUGAGUGUACCUGAAGAAAAAGCAUCGGCUAACUCCGUGCCAGCAGCCGCGGUAAUACGGAGGAUGCGAGCGUUAUCCGGUUGUAUUGGGUUUAAAGGGUGCGCAGGCGGUCUGUUAAGUCAGCGGUAAAAGCCCGGGUCCAAACCCCGGCCCGCCGUUGAAACUGGCAGUCUCGAGUUGGAGAGAAGUAUGCGGAAUGCGCGGUGUAGCAGUGAAAUGCAUAGAUAUCGCGCAGAACUCCGAUUGCGAAGGCAGCAUGCCGGCUCCACACUGACGCUGAGGCACGAAAGCGUGGGUAUCGAACAGGAUUAGAUACCCGUGUAGUC
rnacentral:rRNA from 1 species